ACCGUAUACCGUUGCUCGAGCCGGCGGCCCCCGGGAGAGACCACAACCAUCUUGUUCCUGAUCGUCUGAGUACCCAUACAAUAGAAUAAAACUUUCAACAACGGAUCUCUUGGUUCCGGUCUAUGAAAACGCAGCGAAAUGCGAUAACUAGUGUGAAUUGCAAUUUACGUGAAUCAUCUAGUCUUUGAACGCACAUUGCGCUCCUUGGUUUUCCAGGGAGCAUGUCUAUCCGAGGUCGUUGCAACUCUCAAGCCCGGCUUGGUCCUGGAGGGCGUCCCGCUGCCGCGGGGCCCCUCCCAAACGCAACUCACGUCGUGCCAUCUCGGUCGGAGCGCAGCAGAUUUGCAGCCCCGUCCGGCGUCGUCGCGAGCCGCCCCCGCGCGGACUUCUCAAGG
rnacentral:misc_RNA from 1 species